AUUGAACGCUGGCGGCAGGCCUAACACAUGCAAGUCGAGCGGCAGCGGGAAAGUAGCUUGCUACUUUUGCCGGCGAGCGGCGGACGGGUGAGUAAUGCCUGGGGAUCUGCCCAGUCGAGGGGGAUAACAGUUGGAAACGACUGCUAAUACCGCAUACGCCCUACGGGGGAAAGCAGGGGACCUUCGGGCCUUGCGCGAUUGGAUGAACCCAGGUGGGAUUAGCUAGUUGGUGAGGUAAUGGCUCACCAAGGCGACGAUCCCUAGCUGGUCUGAGAGGAUGAUCAGCCACACUGGAACUGAGACACGGUCCAGACUCCUACGGGAGGCAGCAGUGGGGAAUAUUGCACAAUGGGCGAAAGCCUGAUGCAGCCAUGCCGCGUGUGUGAAGAAGGCUCUAGGGUUGUAAAGCACUUUCAGUAGGGAGGAAAAGUCGAUAGUUAAUACCUAUCGGCCGUGACGUUACCUACAGAAGAAGCACCGGCUAACUCCGUG
rnacentral:rRNA from 1 species